GACGAACGCUGGCGGCGUGCCUAAUACAUGCAAGUCGAACGAGAGCAACCGGUGCUUGCACUGGUCAAUCUAGUGGCGAACGGGUGAGUAACACGUGGGUAACCUGCCCAUCAGAGGGGGAUAACAUCCGGAAACGGAUGCUAAAACCGCAUAGGUCUUCGAACCGCAUGGUUUGAAGAGGAAAAGAGGCGCAAGCUUCUGCUGAUGGAUGGACCCGCGGUGCAUUAGCUAGUUGGUGAGGUAACGGCUCACCAAGGCCGUGAUGCAUAGCCGACCUGAGAGGGUGAUCGGCCACAUUGGGACUGAGACACGGCCCAAACUCCUACGGGAGGCAGCAGUAGGGAAUCUUCCGCAAUGGACGCAAGUCUGACGGAGCAACGCCGCGUGAGUGAAGAAGGUUUUCGGAUCGUAAAACUCUGUUGUUAGAGAAGAACAAGUGCUAGAGUAACUGUUAGCGCCUUGACGGUAUCCAACCAGAAAGCCACGGCUAACUACGUG
rnacentral:rRNA from 1 species